rnacentral:rRNA from 1 species
AGUGAACGCUGGCGGUAGGCCUAACACAUGCAAGUCGAACGGCAGCACAGUAAGAGCUUGCUCUUACGGGUGGCGAGUGGCGGACGGGUGAGGAAUACAUCGGAAUCUACUUUUUCGUGGGGGAUAACGUAGGGAAACUUACGCUAAUACCGCAUACGACCUACGGGUGAAAGCAGGGGAUCUUCGGACCUUGCGCGAUUGAAUGAGCCGAUGUCGGAUUAGCUAGUUGGCGGGGUAAAGGCCCACCAAGGCGACGAUCCGUAGCUGGUCUGAGAGGAUGAUCAGCCACACUGGAACUGAGGCACGGUCCAGACUCCUACGGGAGGCAGCAGUGGGGAAUAUUGGACAAUGGGCGCAAGCCUGAUCCAGCCAUACCGCGUGGGUGAAGAAGGCCUUCGGGUUGUAAAGCCCUUUUGUUGGGAAAGAAAAGCAGCAGGUUAAUACCCCGCUGUUCUGACGGUACCCAAAGAGUAAGCACCGGCUAACUUCGU